rnacentral:rRNA from 1 species
AACGUUGCCAACUGUCUUUUAGAUGCGGUUAUUUAUAUGACUCAUCUGGCGGAUCUCGAGAAAUCUAAGUUUUUAGGUUCCGGGGGAAGUAUGGUUGCAAAGCUGAAACUUAAAAGAAUUGACGGAAGGACACACAAGAAGUGGAGCCUGUGGCCUAAUUUGACUCAACACGGGAAACCUUACUCGGCCAGGACACUUUUAGGAUUGACAGAUUGAGAGCUCUUUCUUGAUUAGGUGGGUGGUGGUGCAUGGUCGUUCGUAGUUCGUGGAGCGAUUUGUCUGAUUAAUUUCGAUAACGAACGAGACUCCGGCUUACUAAAUAGUCUAAAGUUCGAAGGGACUUUUCAAGACUUCUUAGCAGGAUAAGUGGCACUUUUUAAGCCACACGAAAUGGAGCAAUAACAGGUCUGUGAUGCCCUUAGAUGUCCGAGGCUGCACGCGCGCUACACUGGAGAGUUCAGAAUGUUUCUUCCUACUUCGACAGGAGUGGGUAACCAUGAAAUUCUCUUCGUGACUGGGAUCGGAGCUUGCAAUUAUUCUCCGUCAACGAGGAAUUCCUAGUAAGCACUAUUUCAUCAGAAUGUGCUGAUUAUGUCCCUGUCCUUUGUACACACCGCCCGUCGCUACUACCGAUUGAAUGUUUUAGUGAGAUCUUCGGCUUGGUUUUCCGAGCGGCUCUCGGGUCGUUCGGUUUAUAUCGAAAAGAUGCUCAAACUGGAUCAUUUAGAGGAAGUAAA